rnacentral:rRNA from 1 species
GCGACUGGGCGCAGCCUGAUGCAGCGACGCCGCGUGAGGGAUGAAGGCCUUCGGGUUGUAAACCUCUUUCUUUGGGACGAAGCUGGUCUUUUGGGUUGGUGAGGGUUCCUGCUGAAGAAGCGCCGGCGAACUACGUGCCAGCAGCCGCGGUAAUACGUAGGGCGCAAGCGUUAUCCGGAAUUAUUGGGCGUAAAGAGCUCGUAGGCGGUUUGUCGCG